AAUUUGCUCAUCCUGGUUUGCUUGUAGGAUGUGAAUGCAAGAACCUGCCAAGGAACCAAUGACCAAGAUGAUUGAUGAGUGCAGGGCCUGAGAGAACCACCUUGAAUGACAAUCUCGAGUAGUUUCCAGUAUUGGAUUGAAAAGAUGGCCUUUGCUGCAUCUCCUUGAGCAAGGAAAGCCAAGAAACCUUUGCUUUGGCAGGAGAAAACCUGGAAAGCGGGAAGGAAGAAAAGAAGCCCCCUGAUUCCUUCUGAGCCCCAGACAGCCCAUGAACUGCCUUGCUGGGAAUGGUAGGACGGGGUGGACUCUGGAUUGCUCCCUCUGGAUGUGUGGAACUCCAGGAACUCCUGGUGCCGCCUGGGCCGAUGGAUUGGACGCCCCAGCCCCUCCGUUCCUGCCCAGCCCCUGGGUCCGUGUCCAGUGGUGGCACUGCCAGCCCUGCAGUGGGAUGUAGCCUGGAAACCGCACAGAGCUGAGCCAAGGGAUUUAAAGGGACCAACCAAGGGAGGUGAAGAAAGAAGGAAGAAGGGAACUGAGGCAGUAGACAAGCACCUCUAAGUUACACUGUAAGCAGGUGAGUUGUGUUGAGGUUCCUCAGGCAGGCACUGAGGACUUUGAGGGCUCCAGACAGAGCAGACCUGGGAAGGCCCUCGGUGAAGCCCUUUGGAAACCUUCUAAGGGUAGGUGUGUAUGGUAAUGAGUGUUGGAAAAUG